rnacentral:rRNA from 1 species
UACGUAGGGACCAAGCGUUGUCCGGAAUCAUUGGGCGUAAAGCGCGCGUAGGUGGCUUCGUAAGUCCGUUGUGAAAGUCAAAGGCUCAACCUUUGAAAGCCGAUGGAUACUGCGAAGCUAGAGUACGGAAGAGGCGAGUGGAAUUCCUGGUGUAGCGGUGGAAUGCGCAGAUAUCAGGAGGAACACCGAUGGCGAAGGCAGGUCUCUGGGCUGACACUGACGCUCAUGCACGAAAGCGUGGGGAGCAAACAGG